GACGAACGCUGGCGGCGUGCCUGAUACAUGCAAGUAGAACGCACAGUUUAUACCGUAGCUUGCUACACCAUAGACUGUGAGUUGCGAACGGGUGAGUAACGCGUAGGUAACCUGCCUGGUAGCGGGGGAUAACUAUUGGAAACGAUAGCUAAUACCGCAUAAUAUUAAUUAUUGCAUGAUAAUUAAUUGAAAGGUGCAAUUGCACCACUACCAGAUGGACCUGCGUUGUAUUAGCUAGUAGGUGAGGUAACGGCUCACCUAGGCGACGAUACAUAGCCGACCUGAGAGGGUGAUCGGCAACACUGGGACUGAGACACGGCCCAGACUCCUACGGGAGGCAGCAGUAGGGAAUCUUCGGCAAUGGACGAAAGUCUGACCGAGCAACGCCGCGUGAGUGAAGAAGGUUUUCGGAUCGUAAAGCUCUGUUGUAAGAGAAGAACGGGUGUGAGAGUGGAAAGUUCACACUGUGACGGUAUCUUACCAGAAAGGGACGGCUAACUACGUG
rnacentral:rRNA from 1 species